UGUCAUCAUUCUUGUCUCUAACUGGUCAAGAAAAAAACUGAACUUUGGUGAAAUAUAUUUCAGAGAUCUGCCACAAAGAGAGGUGGAGGGAAAACCUUACUGAAGGAUGCUAGAAAAGGGAAGCCAAGCGUAUCGGGGUCUGUGUCCGGUUUGUUUGAAGUUCUUCAUGGAGUUGACUGAGCUCUUUGAGAAACAGCAUCACUCAAACCACUACUGCUGGUGCCCAUUCGAGAAGUCGCGCGCUGCUCUGAUGAGAGCACCCCUCUCUGCGGGAUCAUUUUGAACCUGAGUGGUAGACCUCCUCUUGUAAUCCCGGAUCGAGACAGUUUAAAUUGGGAAUGGCCGCAAUUUAAAGAAUGCUCUCCAGCCUUUGAAAUCGAGGUCCCCGUCUCCCCCUCUGAUCCCCACCCUGCUCACUGCAGGCAUAGACGAGUUAGUCAUGGUGUGUAACUAGGGUUGCCAUGUAAUUUGUCAUCCAACCACGACAUUUUUGGGCGCGAAAGGCAGCACUAAGUGGAGGGAUGCUGGGGUAAUGCGUAAACCAGGACUUUCCUGGUGAAGGGAGUUGUAUGGGCUGCUUGUCCUUAAUACUAAUGUGACUAUUAUCAGUAGUGAUAGAAUUAUAACACUGUAAUUAAAUAUAUAAAUGAAAUAGUGUAAUUAACAUUAAUGUUAUUUUUAGCAUGUUUAAAAGAAACAGCUUCCCAUCUAGUUUAAGCUAGCCUCCCCUGUGCGGGGAGGAAGGCCUGCCGUGGAGAGCGCCUGUUAAACUGGGUGCGCCGUCUCGGUGGAAAGUGAAGGUCUCUUCUCCUGUCAUACUCUCUGUUCUUGAUUAAAUGCCAGAAAAGAUCCUGUGCCUAAAAAUACGUAUUCAGAUGCCUUUCAUAAAGUUCAGAAGCAAGCAAAACUAAGCCAAUAUAUACAGAUAAAACGGAAAUGUCCACGGCAAGCGUAUGGUAAACCCACGAUUAUGCCUUGGGGGGAAGCUGGGCGAGGGCAGGGGAGAAGGCAUUCUAGUGGGUGAAGUUACUGGCCGUGUGCUUUCUUGGGUUGGCUGAAGGGUUACAAGGACUCACGGUAGUAUUUUUAAAUACUAAAUUUAAAAAGUACAUGUUCAGACUGUCUCAGGGGUCAGCUGAAACAAAUCCAGGGGGUUUGGGGAGGGGGCCCACUGUGCUGCCGCCAAAGGAUGCUGUUGGCAGGCCGAGCCGUUACUGUUUCGGGCCAGGGCGCUGCUUACUCUCUUCCUUUUGUACAAAUCGACAAGUGCCCAGGAGAGUUCCUAGCGCAUACUAGGCCUUCAGCAAACGUUUGUUGAAUAUUUUUUUCACGUGUAUGUUUUUAAACUUGUUGUUAUGGAAAUUUCCAGGCACACCAAGGUGAAGAGGCCCAGGCCUGAGCACAGCUGCAGAGCCAUCAGCCCUGCCUCUCUCGUUCCCUCUGUCACCCCCACCUUUUCGUUGGCGUCUUUUAAAGCAAAUCCCAGAAAUAAUAUCAUUUCACUGCCACUCUUUCUGAGUUCUUUUGGGGUCUGUUAAAGCUGCCUUCUUCGCCCUGAGGAGAGCCUGUCAGGGUCACUGACCCUGCAUUCUCUUCUCUUCCCCACAGUUGUGUAGUUAAAGACUGCACAGACCUAGGGGACCCUUGCUGGGAGAGUAGACCUUUGUUCCUGGGAGCCCCAGGAGUCUCUAAAGCCACCACCCAUCUUUUGGGCCCCCUUUUAAAGGCCCCCAAAUUGCUCAUUGGAGAUUUCCCCAAUUCCCAAAGCAAAGCAGACACGUUUCCAGCAACGAGGCAAAUCUCAGCUUGCUCUCUCUAAAAGAAUGCACAU
ensembl:lncRNA